UACAAAUAUAUGGCAUUUGAAAACAUUGUUAACUUUGUGUGUACUAGUAGAGGUACAUUAACUGAGUUAUGAGUCAAGUUGUUGCAGUCGGGGCUCCUCUCCUCCUUGGUAUGAAAGGGACAGUCCUCGUCGGGUCCCAGGUGUGUGGAGUGGUGGGUGCUUUGGGGGGCCCAGUUUCCGUAGGGAGCCCCAGAGUGUGGAG